CAAAUAGCUCGGUUUAUAUAUUAUUUCUAGUUCCUGCUCAUGCGUAAGCCAUCUGUUGAUUGGUUAGCAUGUGCCGUCCACGCGCUUAGAAAAGAUGAAGGU